GUCUGACCACUCUUUUCUUAGGUUACUCGGCAUGCUCGGCGUGUUUACUUCGGUGGACUUCCUCCGAUCACUAAUGAACAGAUGGUUGCUCUAUUCUUCAAUCAAGUUAUGGCUGCUAUCGGGGGAAACACAUUUGGUCUAGGUGGCAUAAUCAUCUGAAUCCAAACAUAUGGAACGAUGCUUGGACUACUGAGGAAGAACAU